GCUCCUCCCAGCUGCACUACAACAUCCUCUCCUGGGUGCAAGGCUCUCCUACCUCUCUUAGGUCAGCCCUUAUUCCAUUCCAUCUCCAAGGCCUCUCCGCGGCCAGCAAAAACCGAAGGACUGUUUAUCCAUAUGCCCGUAGUAUUUCUGUUGGCUUUCCCUUCCUGCGCAGGCAUAAAUGGGCUCUUUUCUUGGACCACUCWGCACGUGAGCACCAACCAAACGCAUUCUCUGCUGGUAUCUGCAGGAAGCCCUUUUCCUACUGACUCCAGCUGAUGUUUGUUUGCAACAACAUCUACAACAACAACAACAAAAAUGCACGUUUUUGCUUUCCUUACGGUUCAGAAUAUCCAUACUUUGUAUCCACAUGGACAAAGCAUUUAUACAUUAAAGGACGUAGUCAUCUAAGUUGUGAAUGGUUUUAGUUUGUUUUCUUUCUUGUGAGCA